AUGCUGGAAGGAGCACCGGCAUCAGACCAGAAGCUGAACGGCUGUAUGGCAUGGAAAGAGGCCAGGAGACUGGGGAAGGAAGUGGUGAUGAAGGGCGGGCAUUCGCUUUGGCUCCGAGGCCCAGCCGCACCACCUGGCCAGCCUGGAAGUGGUGAAGUGCCCGGGCCUCUUCCCUUCCUGUGGACUGGAGUAGUCCAGUUCCCACUCCUCCUCUCUCAGAGGAUUCUCAGCCAGGUACCCCAUGAAUGCCACAGGGGUGAUGUGAUUCCUGCCAACCCCCAAAUCAAAGAUGCUUUGACCCUUGAAGGAAACGUCCUGCUCACCCUUCCCCUCCCCUUCCUCUGGGCCCAUUGUAAUUUCUCAGUUUACAAGGAAUUUCAGUUUCUAGGUCUCCACAGCCCUGACCAUCCACUUGAUGUUUGGGAAGAGACUUGUUUGAGAAGCAGCCAGGGAGCAAUGGAAAGAGCCCAGGUCUGGGUGUCAGGAGACCUGGGUUCUUGUUUCACCUCUAUCAUUUGCCUGCUGUAAGACUUUAGGCAAAUCACUUAAUGGCUCUGUGCCUCAGUUUCCUCAUCUGUAAAAUGCGGCUUAAAUUUCUCCUCCUCCCACUUAGGUCAUGCGUCCCAUGUGUAACUCCUGUACUCUCCCAAGCAUUUAGUUCACUGCUAUGCACACAGUAAGCACUCAGUAAAUACCAGUGAUGACGAUGACGGUGUCUAGUCUGAUUAUCCUUAAUCUACCCUAGCACUUAGUAAGCACUUCGCACAGAGAUAAUUAUUAUUAUUAGAAGGUUUGCUGUAUGCAGGGAGGAGAGGCAAGAGAAAGUGCUUACUAUAAAGCCUGCCCUGAUUGGACAAGAAAUUCAAUGUGGAAUCACACCCAAAGUACAAAGUGAUCAAAGGACUUUGGCAAUCCACAUUUGACCCGGCAAGCAUUAGUCACGGUUCUUUUGGCCAGCAGCAUGGCCUAGUGGAGAGAGCACAAGGGUGGGAGUCAGAAGGACCUGGGUUCUAAUCCCAAGAUCAGCUGAUUGCUUGCUGUGUGACCUAGGGCAAGUCACUUAAUUUCUCUGUGCCUCAGUUUACUUAGUUGUAAAAUCGGGAUACCUCUUUUCCCACAUACCUCAUAAGCCACAAAAGUGACAGGGACUGUGUCGUGAUUAUCUUGUAUCUACCCCAUUGCUUCACUCACUCAAUCAAUCAUAUUUAUUGAGUGCUUACUUGGCACAUAAUAAGCAUUUAGCAAAAAUCACAAUUAUUAUGAGCUCAAAGUCUUCUUUCUAGAGGGCCCCCUUUAGGUUAGCUAAACCUGAGUCCCUUCAAGCUCCUCUCUUCCUGAGGUGAAAUCCUUUGUUUGGGUCAGUUAGUACAGACAUUUUGAAGGAUUUAAUGGAUGCAUAGGUACUGGGAAGGGGUGGGAAGAUCAUAAAGUUUACGCAGAAGUACAGGGUGAUAGCAGCAGCUGGAGGAGGAAAGCUAUCUUAUUAAGGGAGCAGGAUGGGGUUAUCUUCAGGGUAAAAAUAAUAGUGAACCAUAAACCUAAAAAGGACCAGAUGAAGGGAUAACCUAAUAAUAAUAAUAAUGGCAUUUGUUAAGUACUUAUUAUGUGCUAGGUACUGUACUAAGCACUGGGGUGGAUACAAGCAAAUCAGUUGGACCCAGUCCCUGUCCCACAUGGGGCUCCCAUUUUACAGAUAAGAUAACUCUUGCCUAAGGUCAUAAAGCCCCCCUUCUAGACUGAGCCCGUUGGGCAGGGAUUGUCGCUAUGUGUUGCUGAAUUGUACUUUCCAAGCGCUUAGUCCAGUGCUCUGCACAUAGUAAGGGCUCAAUAAAUACAUUGAAUGAAUGAAUGGAUGAAUAGAGACUGUGUCCAACCUGAUUAAUUUGUAUCUACCCCAGUACUUAGUACAG
rnacentral:lncRNA from 1 species